rnacentral:tRNA from 1 species
AGGGGUGCAGCUCAGUGGUAGGGUGCUUGUCCAGCAUCUGGGAGGCCCUGGGUUCCAUCCCCAGCACCUCAG